rnacentral:rRNA from 1 species
CGGACGGGUGAGUAAUGCUGGGAAGCUGCCUGAUGGAGGGGGGUAACUACUGGAAACGGUAGCUAAUACCGCAUAACGUCGCAAGACCAAAGAGGGGGACCUUCGGGCCUCUUGCCAUCGGAUGUGCCCAGAUGGGAUUAGCUAGUAGGUGGGGUAACGGCUCACCUAGGCGACGAUCCCUAGCUGAUCUGAGAGGAUGACCAGCCACACUGGAACUGAGACACGGUCCAG